CCUCUCUUUGUUUAGACCAAUCCACAGACCGUGCUGUGCCAAUGGCGUUAUUGUCAUCGGAGGGAUCCGUUUGUUUAGAAGAGGAAAGAGAAGAAGCAGAAAAUAUGGACAAUGUUGACAAGACAGAGCAAGAUCCAAGCUUAGAGAGGUCAGUCAUUCUUGUGAAUAUAAUAAAAGGGCUUUGUAAACCAAGUGGACAACUAACACAGGACUGAAGAUGAAGAUUGGGGAAUCUGUACAAUCGGCAUCCAUUGAACCACCCCACUCCUAUAAAAACAAGCGUUCGGGGAUAACCUUAUGCAUAGAUUGGAUGUCACAAGGUACAAACAGGAGGUGGAAGAUAGGGCUAGAUUUCUAUAUUUAAUGAAUCCACAACAUGCUAUCUUGGAAUAAAUGAAAGACUUCCAAUAGACGAUGCUUAACUACUUGAAGCCUGAGCAGCGACUUGUAAGCUUCCAGAUAAAUAGCCCCAGGGCCAGAUUUGAAGACACAACCCCCCCACACACACCGCUCCUCUCCCUACUGAUAACUGGAAUGGGUGGGAGAUUCAAAUAGCUGUCAGUCUCCUGCCCAGUCCCCCGUUUAGAUGCACCAAGUGGGCGGCCUGCUGCUCCCAGAUAUUUGCCACCCCAGGCCCAGGCCUUUGUGCCCUGCCCACAAAUCUGGCCUUGAAUAGCACAAACUUGUCUUCAACUGAUCCAUCCCUAUGUAAUGCCUGCCACAACUUCCAUCCAAAAAAGACUGAGGGGAAUAUCCCGGGAAGUUGUCAAGAAAAGGUAAUAAUGCAUAAGCCAUACUGAUCUGACCUUCCAGCCCUCUGCGUUUUAGAAGCAUUCAAAGUAACUUUUUCUUCGUUUGUUUAUGGGUACGCUUCCAUAACUGGUACAGUGAAACCACUGAAAGAAUGUCGCAAAAUAUUACACACGGCAAAAGACUCAUUUUUAAAAGCCAUUGAUGCCACUAAAAAUACAGAGAGAGAGGAUACACAGAGAGAUGAUAACAUACAUUACCUAGAGGCAUUGCUGGUGCACAGACAUGUGCAGAGACCAGGGGUGGAAUAUGACAGUAAGUGAACAUUUCCAUAAAGACUUAGGUAAAAUGUCAACAAAGUAAAUCAUUCUCUACAAUAACUCUUACUCCUAGGUCACUGAAUGGAAAAGAAGAGUUCGCCACAGAUAUGCCAGCAGUGACAAACAUUGGCGCACAGCAACACAAGGCAGCAAGUGGCUACGUUUGCAUUGACAGGAGAGGAAGAAAUGAUAACGGUUAUCUUAAAUUUGUGUUGACAUAAUAGCUGUUGGAAUGCAGUUAUUAUUUUGUUUUGUUUCUGUUGGUUGAAGAUGUACUAUGAGAAUAUAAGGCCAAGACUGGGAUUUGAUGAUUCCCCCAACAACAUAUUCUUUUUAUCACCAAAAGGGAAGAAGAUUCAUAGCAUUUCAAAAGACAUGUGGCGAUACCACCAAAGGUGUAAAUUGUCAAAGCCUAUACAUACAGAGGGUUUCACUGUGGAAUGGAGCUACCCAGAUCGGAAGGUUUAGAGAAGGGAAGCUUUGACUGGGAAGGCAGAGAGAUGGAAGGGUCACAGGGAGGAGGGAAGGAGGACCCCACGUUGCCAGGAGACAGCAGCAAGCACAAGCCGGGGCACAGAGUCACAGGUGAUCAUCUUCCAACCGCCCAAAAACAAGGUUUGGCAAGAGGGUUCAACCUCCCAAUGUUUCCAGUCAGGUGGUGUGGCAACUGUGUGAAAUAUUUACAAUGUCACAUCGCUCCAAGAGGCACAUAUUUGCUAAAUAUUUAGCACAUACCAACAUGACAGCAGAAAAGUGGUACCGAGAGAAAACCUUGGACAACACAUGCCAUGUAUACCUACUAGUCUCUGGGGUGGCAAGCAGCAAUCAAGACAAUCAACCAGAACCAUGCACAACAUCUUUGGAAGCUGAAAGUGACCCAGAGGACCCAGAGUUGAAUAUUGAAAGUGACCACCAACAGAAAGUCGAUUAUGCCUCUCCCUGCAAUCCCUCCUUCCCAACUCCGUCUGUCUCCUCCAUUCUCUUUGUAGAAGCGACGAGCCAUGCACAUCCCAAACAAUAAGAAGAGGACAUACACAGGGUCGGACUGGGCCGCCGGGACACUGGGAAAAAUCCCGGUGAGUUCUGGCUUUAG